UGGGGUGUCGCCAAGCGGUAAGGCAGCGGUUUUUGGUACCGCCAUUCGGAGGUUCGAAUCCUUCCACCCCAA
rnacentral:tRNA from 1 species